AACCCUAAAAUCCCCCCAACACUUUGAUUCUCACUGUGUCACGAUGAGAAUCAUCCGCUUUACUGGCAUCUGACUUUGGGAUGCCUCUUUGGGAAUCUUUUGCCCUUUCUAGGCUGAUUUCUUGAAAGUCUUUAUAAAUUUAUUGCCUGGAACAUUCUGACUGUCUGCUCAGUGAGGUUUUUUUGUGUGUGUGUGUGUGUGUUGAGCAGGAUUUUGGCUGUUACUUCCAAUCUGCUCCUCUUGUUUGAGCAACUUCACAGAUGAUGUAGCAUCACCCCGUUGCUCUACUGUGUUGUUUGCUUCAGGCAGAAGAGGACGUGCUUAGAAACAUGGAUGUCUGCUGUCCUUUGGAACUGGUGCAGCGUCUCACUGCCAGGUUUUUUAGUGUAAUUCCAGUGCCAGCAUCAUAGCAGAAGGGCAAGAGGAAGGUCCUGGUCAUUAGGGCUUCUGAGCAGGUCACCAGGUGCCCACAAAUUGCUGAGGGAAGACUCCAUGUGUGUAUCAAACCUCUUCUCCUGAUAUCAGCUGGAGACGACACAGACUCGGUGGUUCAGAGUGUCUGUUUCUCCGAGACCUCUGAAGAGCAGAGCCAAGGAAGGGCAAUAGCUGAUAAACCAUCUUAAAACUUAGGUAAGCAAGAUAAUCACCCCAUUCCCAGCACUUACAACCUCCUUUAUGUUAACAUGAUAAACUGACUACCUGAAUACCCAAG